AUUGAACGCUGGCGGCAGGCCUAACACAUGCAAGUCGAACGCGUGGCGGACGGGUGUGUAAUGUCUGGGAAACUGCCCGAUGGAGGGGGAUAACUACUGGAAACGGUAGCUAAUCCCGCAUACCCUCGGAUGUGCCCAGAUGGGAUUCGCUAGUAGGUGGGGUAACGGCUCACCUAGGCGACGAUCCCUCGCUGGUAUGAGAGGAUGACCAGCCACACUGGAACGUAGACACGGUCCAGAAUCCGACGGGAGGCAGAAGUGGGGAAUAUUGCACAAUGGGCGCAAGCCUGAUGCAGCCAUGCCGCGUGUAUGAAGAAGGCCUUCGGGUUGUAAAGUACGUUCAGCGAGGAGGCGUUACUCGCAGAAGAAGCACCGGCUAACUCCGUGCCAGCAGCCGCGGUAAUUC
rnacentral:rRNA from 1 species